UUUGUUUUGUGUUUUUUUUUAUCCCCCCCCCCAAUCAUUUUUGGUUCCUGCAACCUGUUUCCCAUUUUUCCUGGACUGUGGACCCAUGUCCUGAGGGCUUGCUUUGGAGUUGACGAAAACCAAAGGGUGACUUUUGCUUUGACGCCAACAAGGACUGGAUCAGACCUUUUGGGGUUUCUCUCUGCUGCCCACACCAAGCCCCUAAAAUGGGAUUUUCUGACUGCCUCAGCCUUUUUAUUGUGCUGUGCCAGUGACAGAGAUGAACAUGGGUCAUUUUUGUGUUCUCUUCUUCACCCGCAGGCGCAUGCACACACCCCUUUGCCCCCUCAUUAUUAGUAUGCAUGCAUCAAAGCCCACAUACGACAUCACAGUGAUCUCAAGAGGAACACCCUGAGACUAGUGCAUGCAUAGCAUUAGUCAGGCUGCUGCUUGCACUGUGCAUGAAGAAUUUAACAUAUUCCUGAAGAGUUUAAACCAGAAUAACAAAGGUGGCUGCCUUUCAGUAGCAGGUCAGAUGAUAAUGACAUGACUGUAGAAAUGCCAGUUUAAUCCUCCAGGCCAGGAUGGAUGCCUUUCUCAGCAGGACACCUGGACAGACAGCAUGUCCAGCAUGUAGUUGUACUGUUACAGCUGAAAGCUUCUUGAAUAGUGAUGCUCCACCAAAUCUGAAGUGACGUUACUGAUGUAAUUUAUGGCAGAGACACAGAGCUUCUGGAGGAGGAAGCUCUGAAGUUUCAGGGGACUACUGACCCAUAAAGCUCUCUCCUGGGUUACUACACCUGGAGGAGUUUAGCAAGGAUGUCACUUGAACCUGCAGACAAAGCAUCUCAGGUCACAUUGGUAUCUUUGUUUUAGUCAUCAGAUGAGCUUAUAUUAAGGUGUCAGGUUGAAAAUAGAUUGUUUCCUCUCUAACAAAUUGAUUUCUGCACCUGCCUUUCUUCCAAGCUCCCUUGCACAUAUUUACGAAUGCAGACUUUCGCGUUUUUCUUUUUUUUCAAAUUUCCAUUCAGAGCCAUAUUUUAUAGGCUAAUUCUCAUGUCCUCAGCUGGUUGUGUCUCACUUCACCCCAAAAGCUGAUGCUUUCCUGCUCACUCCUGGCUGGAUGAAUAAACUCACUUAGUCUCAAGGAUCAAGAGCAUUUAAUGGUCAUCGUCACUCAGUC